rnacentral:rRNA from 1 species
AUUGAACGCUGGCGGCAUGCCUUACACAUGCAAGUCGAACGGCAGCACGGGGCAACCUGGUGGCGAGUGGCGAACGGGUGAGUAAUGCAUCGGAACGUACCUUUCAGUGGGGGAUAACGUAGCGAAAGUUACGCUAAUACCGCAUAUUCUGUGAGCAGGAAAGCAGGGGAUCGCAAGACCUUGCGCUGAUUGAGCGGCCGAUGUCAGAUUAGCUAGUUGGUGAGGUAAAGGCUCACCAAGGCGACGAUCUGUAGCGGGUCUGAGAGGAUGAUCCGCCACACUGGAACUGAGACACGGUCCAGACUCCUACGGGAGGCAGCAGUGGGGAAUUUUGGACAAUGGGGGCAACCCUGAUCCAGCCAUGCCGCGUGAGUGAAGAAGGCCUUCGGGUUGUAAAGCUCUUUCGGCCGGGAAGAAAUCGCACGGGCUAAUACCCUGUGUGGAUGACGGUACCGGAAUAAGAAGCACCGGCUAACUACGUGCCAGCCGCCGCCGUAAAAC